AUUUCAUUCUUCGCUCAUUUUACUCAUUCUCCAUCAUGAAUUUAAUUCUGAUCACAGUCGAGCGUUUCCUGGCCACGCGCUAUCCGUUAUCGUUUCGCGGCAAACCGAAACGUACGCUGGCGUUAAUCCUUGCGACCUGGGUACUGAGUUUCGUAUUCUCGUCACCAUUCCUUUCCGUGAUGGAGCACCGCUGCUGGGUACCAGAAUACUGUACUUGUUACCAAUUAUGGCCAAGCAAACUCGCGUCCCGCGCGUACUACACGAUCGUGUAUGUGAUACUAUAUUUCAUCCCUCUGGCUCUCAUGGCGUUUAUGUACGCUCUCAUUUCAAUGACCCUUCGAAAGCAACCGCUGGGCUUCCUCACCGACAAGAACGACACGCAACGCAAGCAGUUUAAAGCACGCAAACGCAUGUCGCUGCUCGUAAUUGUCAUCGUGAUCGCGUUCUUUAUAUGUUGGUCUCC